UGGGACAGGAAGAGCGCCUGCGAGCCUUGACCAGGAAGCAUCAGUGAGAACACCUGCUCUGCAAGCUUCCCUCCCCUCAAACUGGCCCCAGAUACAGCUGCCAACUUUGGAGGGGUGGGGGUGGGGUAGUGUAGAGUUUGCAGGAGCUGGAGAGGAUGUCAUGGAAUCUGGAGAGCCACGGAUCCAGGUCUGCUGUUGAGAGCCUGGGUGCCCCUGGCUCUGUAAAGAAGGAAGAAAGAAGAGGGGAGAAAAGUGAGACCGAGGAGAGGUCCACUCCAAGAGAAACUAAAAGGAACAAAAAGAGGUAGAGGCAAAGGAACAGGAGGGAAUCGGAUUGAGAGAAAGUCCCCUGAGUGCUCCCCCCACCCACCCCGCCUUUUGGAUGAAGCUGCAGCAGCGGUAGCAGAUGGUUCCAGAAAAGAAAGUAGAGGAGUAGGUCCGUGAGUCCCGCCCCGUGGGUCCACACAGCGCUGUGCUCAUUGCAGUUUGGAGCCAGAGAUCCCCAAGGCGGGUCUUUCCGUGGUACCCCAGGCGUGCUCACCGUGGGAGCCACCCCCAAGGACUGAGCAGCAGGGCCCCCAGACUGGCUGAACCUUUUCUGGAGUUGAAUCUUCUGGGAUCUAAGCAGAAAGGGGCACUUGGCCACUAUCAUAAUCUACAAUCUUACACAGGGAGAAACACCACCAAAGGUUCCCCCACCCCUGUAGGCCUUGCUCACUCUUAGAGCUCCAGGGCCCACCAGUGGCAGCUAUAGAAGGCAGUGAGUAAACAAACAUUUGUGGUUCGGGGUAGAAAUAGUCUUUAGAGUCAAGUUUAAGCCACAGUUUUGCCAUCCCUGAGGGCUCCUGGACUGGAAUCCUCUUGGAGGUUAAGAGGAUGGCUGCAGUUCACACUCCAAGAGAUGCAGGCUGAUCUCCUGUUAGAACCUUAGACUGAGUGAUUGACCUCCCUAGACUGCUGACAGCACACUCUGACUUGCACAAAUGCUUCCUUUUAACAGGCCCCCGUUUCCCUUGUGUGUAGUUCAACCUCUGUGAGCCUAACACUUUUCUACUCCUUAUGAAACUCUACUUUGACAAUUAUCUGUGAUGUAGUCAGGACAAGAGGAAUCCAUCUCAGAGAUGAAGAAUAUAUUGUUAGCAAAGCCAGACUGUAUUCCAUCCACUUUAUAUAUAUGUAUAUAAAAUAAAAUCCCUUAAAGUGUAUACAUCUACAUAUAUAUAUAUAUAUAUAUAUAGAUGUAUAUGUAUAUGUAUAUAGAUGUAUAUACAUAUUGAUGUAUAUACUUUAAAGGAUUUUAUUUCUUUGACAGAGAGAUCACAAGUAGGCAGAGCAGCAGGCAGAGAGAAGGAGGGAAGCCAGCUCCCUGCUGAGCAGAGAGCUUUAUUCAGGGCUCGAUCCCAGGACCCUGAGACCAUGAUCUGAUCCAAUGACAGAGGCUUAACCUAUUGAGCCACCCAGGUGCCCCUAUACAUUUUAAUUGAAGUAUAGUUGACAUAUAAUAUGCUAGUUUCAGGUGUAUGACAUAGUGACGCGACAGUUAUAUACAUUAUGAAAUCCAUCUACUUUUUAAAAUUUUUAUAUUUAUUUUUAUUUAUAUUUUAUAUAUUUUUAUAUUUUAUAUAUAUUUAUAUAUUUUAUAUUUUCAUUAGCAUAUAACAUAUAAUGUAUUAUAAUAUAUAUGUAUAUAAUAUAUAUAAUGUAUUACAAUGUAUUAUUAGCCCCAGGGGUACAGGUCUGUGAAUCAUCAGGUUUACACACUUCACAACACUCACCAUAGUACAUACCCUUCCCAAUGUCCAUAACCCAGCCACCCUCUCUGUAUGUCCCCAUUCCCCAGUAACCCUCAAUUUGUUUUGUGAGACUAAGAGUCUCUUAUGGUGUGUCCCCCUCCCGAUCCCAUCUUGUUUCAUUUUUCCUUCCCUACCUCCCAAAACUCCCCCACGUUGCCUCUCAAAUUCCUCAUAUCAGGGAGAUCAUAUGAUAAUUGUCUUUCUCUGAUGGACUUAUUUUGCUCAGUGUAAUACCCUCUAGUUCCAUCCACGUCGUCGCAAAUAGCAAGAUUUCAUUUCUUUUGAUGGCUGCAAAAAUCCAUCUACCUUUAAAGGCAAGGAGAUGGCAAGAGAAAAAAAAUUGAUGACCGUGAUCCCAGUGCAGGGCUCCAAAGAGAGGUUUCAGACGAGUCAGAGAUACUAGUACUGUGUGGUUCCCACAGGGUUUUGGACGAAAAUGGCUGGUGGACUCUUAAGUCCUUUCAUGACGUUGGGCCAUUGCAAACUUGCCCUGAGAAGGCCGGUGUUGCACGAGGGUGUGAGGGUGUAUCUCUUACCUUGCUUCUGAAGAGAUAGUUCUGUCCUUGGGGCAGAGUAGGAGGCAGGAGCAGGAAAAAGGACUGCUGCUUACAUUUUUCUUUUUUUUUUCUUCUUCUUCUUCUUUUUUUUUUUUUUAAAGGUAUAAGUGGUAGAGGAUAAAGCUUGUUGCCAUAGUUAUAUAAACAUGGGUAAAUACUACUCGGCUGAGGGUGGGGGAUGGGGGGCAUGAUUCAUUUUUGCUGAAGAAGAAUCACAUAGUUCCACCUCCUCUCUCCUGCACCCCGGAACCCAGCCUGGAGGGAGGAAGAAAUUAUCUCAUUUGAAAAUUAAAGAAUAUGUCAAAGGUCUGAGCUUAGCUGUGAAUAUAUACUUUCUCAAAGCCAUCCAGAGCUGGGAUGGAACCCUCAGAAAGGCAGCUCA